rnacentral:rRNA from 1 species
AUGUACAUGCCUACAAUGUUAAUGCACCGAAUCCCAUUAGAAAUCCACAGUUAAGCGCACUUGCGCUAGAGUAGUACUGGGAUGGGUGAUUGCCCAAGAAGUUCUAUUGUUUUACAUG